AUUGAACGCUGGCGGCAUGCCUUACACAUGCAAGUCGAACGGCAGCACGGGAGCAAUCCUGGUGGCGAGUGGCGAACGGGUGAGUAAUAUAUCGGAACGUGCCCAGUCGUGGGGGAUAACGUAGCGAAAGCUACGCUAAUACCGCAUACGAUCUAUGGAUGAAAGCGGGGGAUCGCAAGACCUCGCGCGAUUGGAGCGGCCGAUAUCAGAUUAGGUAGUUGGUGAGGUAAAGGCUCACCAAGCCGACGAUCUGUAGCUGGUCUGAGAGGACGACCAGCCACACUGGGACUGAGACACGGCCCAGACUCCUACGGAGGCAGCAGUGGGGAAUUUUGGGACAAUGGGCGCAAGCCUGAUCCAGCAAUGCCGCGUGCAGGAUGAAGGCCUUCGGUUGUAACUAG
rnacentral:rRNA from 1 species